rnacentral:rRNA from 1 species
UACGUAGGGUGCGAGCGUUGUCCGGAAUUAUUGGGCGUAAAGAGCUCGUAGGCGGUGUGUCACGUCGGCCGUGAAAACCUGGGGCUUAACUCUGGGCGUGCGGUCGAUACGGGCAUCACUAGAGUUCGGCAGGGGAGACUGGAAUUCCUGGUGUAGCGGUGAAAUGCGCAGAUAUCAGGAGGAACACCGGUGGCGAAGGCGGCUUCCUGGACCGACACUGACGCUGAGGCGCGAAAGCUAGGGGAGCAAACGGG